CUUACCAUGCAAGUCGAACGAUGAUCNCCAGCUUGCUGGGGGGAUUAGUGGCGAACGGGUGAGUAACACGUGAGUAACCUGCCCUUGACUCUGGGAUAAGCCUGGGAAACUGGGUCUAAUACCGGAUACGACCAUCUGGCGCAUGUCAUGGUGGUGGAAAGCUUUUGUGGUUUUGGAUGGACUCGCGGCCUAUCAGCUUGUUGGUGGGGUAAUGGCCUACCAAGGCGACGACGGGUAGCCGGCCUGAGAGGGUGACCGGCCACACUGGGACUGAGACACGGCCCAGACUCCUACGGGAGGCAGCAGUGGGGAAUAUUGCACAAUGGGCGCAAGCCUGAUGCAGCGACGCCGCGUGAGGGAUGACGGCCUUCGGGUUGUAAACCUCUUUCAGUAGGGAAGAAGCGAAAGUGACGGUACCUGCAGAAGAAGCGCCGGCUAACUACGUGCCAGCAGCCGCGGUAAUACGUAGGGCGCAAGCGUUAUCCGGAAUUAUUGGGCGUAAAGAGCUCGUAGGCGGUUUGUCGCGUCUGCUGUGAAAGACCGGGGCUCAACUCCGGUUCUGCAGUGGGUACGGGCAGACUAGAGUGCAGUAGGGGAGACUGGAAUUCCUGGUGUAGCGGUGAAAUGCGCAGAUAUCAGGAGGAACACCGAUGGCGAAGGCAGGUCUCUGGGCUGUAACUGACGCUGAGGAGCGAAAGCAUGGGGAGCGAACAGGAUUAGAUACCCUGGUAGUCCAUGCCGUAAACGUUGGGCACUAGGUGUGGGGGACAUUCCACGUUUUCCGCGCCGUAGCUAACGCAUUAAGUGCCCCGCCUGGGGAGUACGGCCGCAAGGCUAAAACUCAAAGGAAUUGACGGGGGCCCGCACAAGCGGCGGAGCAUGCGGAUUAAUUCGAUGCAACGCGAAGAAC
rnacentral:rRNA from 1 species